rnacentral:rRNA from 2 species
UGGGGAAUAUUGCACAAUGGGCGCAAGCCUGAUGCAGCCAUGCCGCGUGUAUGAAGAAGGCCUUCGGGUUGUAAAGUACUUUCAGCGGGGAGGAAGGGAGUAAAGUUAAUACCUUUGCUCAUUGACGUUACCCGCAGAAGAAGCACCGGCUAACUCCGUGCCAGCAGCCGCGGUAAUACGGAGGGUGCAAGCGUUAAUCGGAAUUACUGGGCGUAAAGCGCACGCAGGCGGUUUGUUAAGUCAGAUGUGAAAUCCCCGGGCUCAACCUGGGAACUGCCUCUGAUACUGGCAAGCUUGAGUCUCGUAGAGGGGGGUAGAAUUCCAGGUGUAGCGGUGAAAUGCGUAGAGAUCUGGAGGAAUACCGGUGGCGAAGGCGGCCCCCUGGACGAAGACUGACGCUCAGGUGCGAAAGCGUGGGGAGCAAACAGG